CUGCAGCCCGAGUAGUGAUCGUUUUUAUUGGGCCUAAAGCAUCCGUAGCUUGCUAGAUAAGUCCUCUGUUAAAUCCACCGAUUCAAUCGUUGGAUUGCGGGGGAUACUGUUGGGCUAGGGGACGGGAGAGGUCGACGGUAUUUCCGGGGUAGGGGUGAAAUCCUAUAAUCCCGGGAGGACCACCAGUGGCGAAGGCUGUCGACUAGAACGCGCCCGACGGUGAGGGAUGAAAGCUGGGGGAGCGAACCGGAUUAGAUACCCGAGUAGUCC
rnacentral:rRNA from 1 species